rnacentral:rRNA from 1 species
ACGAACGCUGGCGGCGCGCCUAACACCUGCAAGUCGAACGCGCGAGAGAGAGCUUGCUUUCUUGAGCGAGUGGCGAACGGGUGAGUAACGCGUGAGGAACCUGCCUCAAAGAGGGGGACAACAGUUGGAAACGACUGCUAAUACCGCAUAAGCCCACGGUGCCGCAUGGCACAGAGGGAAAAGGAGCAAUCCGCUUUGAGAUGGCCUCGCGUCCGAUUAGCUAGUUGGUGAGGUAACGGCCCACCAAGGCGACGAUCGGUAGCCGGACUGAGAGGUUGAACGGCCACAUUGGGACUGAGACACGGCCCAGACUCCUACGGGAGGCAGCAGUGGGGAAUAUUGCACAAUGGGGGAAACCCUGAUGCAGCGACGCCGCGUGGAGGAAGAAGGUCUUCGGAUUGUAAACUCCUGUUGUUGGGGAAGAUAAUGACGGUACCCAACAAGGAAGUGACGGCUAACUACGUG